rnacentral:rRNA from 1 species
GACGAACCGUCCUAACGUUGUUCGGAAUCACUGGGCUUAAAGGGCGCGUAGGCGGGCGACCAAGUCCGGGGUGAAAUCUUUCGGCUUAACCGGAAAAUAGCCUUGGAUACUGGUGGUCUCGAGGGAGGCAGGGGCCGUUGGAACUUCCGGUGGAGCGGUGAAAUGCGUUGAUAUCGGAAGGAACGCCGGUGGCGAAAGCGAACGGCUGGACCUCUUCUGACGCUGAGGCGCGAAAGCCAGGGGAGCAAACGGG